AUGCUCACUUCCGAAGCACAUAUUCUAAAACUGGAAUGGUACAGAGAUUAGCAUGGCCCCUGCGCAAGGAUGACAUGCACAUUCGUAAGAAGGAGGAAGAGAGU